GGGUUGUGAGGUUAAGCGACUAAGCGUACACGGUGGAUGCCCUGGCAGUCAGAGGCGAUGAAGGACGUGCUAAUCUGCGAUAAGCGUCGGUAAGGUGAUAUGAACCGUUAUAACCGGCGAUUUCCGAAUGGGGAAACCCAGUGUGUUUCGACACACUAUCAUUAACUGAAUCCAUAGGUUAAUGAGGCGAACCGGGGGAACUGAAACAUCUAAGUACCCCGAGGAAAAGAAAUCAACCGAGAUUCCCCCAGUAGCGGCGAGCGAACGGGGAGCAGCCCAGAGCCUGAAUCAGUGUGUGUGUUAGUGGAAGCGUCUGGAAAGGCGCGCGAUACAGGGUGACAGCCCCGUACACAAAAAUGCACAUGCUGUGAGCUCGAUGAGUAGGGCGGGACACGUGGUAUCCUGUCUGAAUAUGGGGGGACCAUCCUCCAAGGCUAAAUACUCCUGACUGACCGAUAGUGAACCAGUACCGUGAGGGAAAGGCGAAAAGAACCCCGGCGAGGGGAGUGAAAAAGAACCUGAAACCGUGUACGUACAAGCAGUGGGAGCACGCUUAGGCGUGUGACUGCGUACCUUUUGUAUAAUGGGUCAGCGACUUAUAUUCUGUAGCAAGGUUAACCGAAUAGGGGAGCCGAAGGGAAACCGAGUCUUAACUGGGCGUUAAGUUGCAGGGUAUAGACCCGAAACCCGGUGAUCUAGCCAUGGGCAGGUUGAAGGUUGGGUAACACUAACUGGAGGACCGAACCGACUAAUGUUGAAAAAUUAGCGGAUGACUUGUGGCUGGGGGUGAAAGGCCAAUCAAACCGGGAGAUAGCUGGUUCUCCCCGAAAGCUAUUUAGGUAGCGCCUCGUGAAUUCAUCUCCGGGGGUAGAGCACUGUUUCGGCAAGGGGGUCAUCCCGACUUACCAACCCGAUGCAAACUGCGAAUACCGGAGAAUGUUAUCACGGGAGACACACGGCGGGUGCUAACGUCCGUCGUGAAGAGGGAAACAACCCAGACCGCCAGCUAAGGUCCCAAAGUCAUGGUUAAGUGGGAAACGAUGUGGGAAGGCCCAGACAGCCAGGAUGUUGGCUUAGAAGCAGCCAUCAUUUAAAGAAAGCGUAAUAGCUCACUGGUCGAGUCGGCCUGCGCGGAAGAUGUAACGGGGCUAAACCAUGCACCGAAGCUGCGGCAGCGACGCUUAUGCGUUGUUGGGUAGGGGAGCGUUCUGUAAGCCUGUGAAGGUGUGCUGUGAGGCAUGCUGGAGGUAUCAGAAGUGCGAAUGCUGACAUAAGUAACGAUAAAGCGGGUGAAAAGCCCGCUCGCCGGAAGACCAAGGGUUCCUGUCCAACGUUAAUCGGGGCAGGGUGAGUCGACCCCUAAGGCGAGGCCGAAAGGCGUAGUCGAUGGGAAACAGGUUAAUAUUCCUGUACUUGGUGUUACUGCGAAGGGGGGACGGAGAAGGCUAUGUUGGCCGGGCGACGGUUGUCCCGGUUUAAGCGUGUAGGCUGGUUUUCCAGGCAAAUCCGGAAAAUCAAGGCUGAGGCGUGAUGACGAGGCACUACGGUGCUGAAGCAACAAAUGCCCUGCUUCCAGGAAAAGCCUCUAAGCAUCAGGUAACAUCAAAUCGUACCCCAAACCGACACAGGUGGUCAGGUAGAGAAUACCAAGGCGCUUGAGAGAACUCGGGUGAAGGAACUAGGCAAAAUGGUGCCGUAACUUCGGGAGAAGGCACGCUGAUAUGUAGGUGAAGUCCCUCGCGGAUGGAGCUGAAAUCAGUCGAAGAUACCAGCUGGCUGCAACUGUUUAUUAAAAACACAGCACUGUGCAAACACGAAAGUGGACGUAUACGGUGUGACGCCUGCCCGGUGCCGGAAGGUUAAUUGAUGGGGUCAGCGCAAGCGAAGCUCUUGAUCGAAGCCCCGGUAAACGGCGGCCGUAACUAUAACGGUCCUAAGGUAGCGAAAUUCCUUGUCGGGUAAGUUCCGACCUGCACGAAUGGCGUAAUGAUGGCCAGGCUGUCUCCACCCGAGACUCAGUGAAAUUGAACUCGCUGUGAAGAUGCAGUGUACCCGCGGCAAGACGGAAAGACCCCGUGAACCUUUACUAUAGCUUGACACUGAACAUUGAGCCUUGAUGUGUAGGAUAGGUGGGAGGCUUGGAAGUGUGGACGCCAGUCUGCAUGGAGCCGACCUUGAAAUACCACCCUUUAAUGUUUGAUGUUCUAACGUUGACCCGUAAUCCGGGUUGCGGACAGUGUCUGGUGGGUAGUUUGACUGGGGCGGUCUCCUCCUAAAGAGUAACGGAGGAGCACGAAGGUUGGCUAAUCCUGGUCGGACAUCAGGAGGUUAGUGCAAUGGCAUAAGCCAGCUUGACUGCGAGCGUGACGGCGCGAGCAGGUGCGAAAGCAGGUCAUAGUGAUCCGGUGGUUCUGAAUGGAAGGGCCAUCGCUCAACGGAUAAAAGGUACUCCGGGGAUAACAGGCUGAUACCGCCCAAGAGUUCAUAUCGACGGCGGUGUUUGGCACCUCGAUGUCGGCUCAUCACAUCCUGGGGCUGAAGUAGGUCCCAAGGGUAUGGCUGUUCGCCAUUUAAAGUGGUACGCGAGCUGGGUUUAGAACGUCGUGAGACAGUUCGGUCCCUAUCUGCCGUGGGCGCUGGAGAACUGAGGGGGGCUGCUCCUAGUACGAGAGGACCGGAGUGGACGCAUCACUGGUGUUCGGGUUGUCAUGCCAAUGGCACUGCCCGGUAGCUAAAUGCGGAAGAGAUAAGUGCUGAAAGCAUCUAAGCACGAAACUUGCCCCGA
rnacentral:rRNA from 1 species